rnacentral:rRNA from 1 species
UAAAUUUUUUUACCUGGGUAGUAUUAGUUAAGGUCUUAAAACCCAAAGAAUUUGGCGGUAUUUUAUUCCAUUCAGGGGAACCUGUCUCAUAAUUGAUAGUACACGAUUUACUUUACUUAAUUUAUUUAUUUGUAUAUCUCCGUUAUCAGAAAAUCUUUUUGGAGUGAAAAUUUUCUUGUUUUUUUAUUAAAAAUUAUUUCAGGUCAAGGUGCAGUUUAUAAUUAAGUAGAUGAUGGGUUACAAUAAAUUUUUGUUUAUUAUGGAUUUAAUUUUGAAAUCAUUUUAAUGAAAGUGGAUUGAUAGUAAUUUAAUUUAUUAAUUAUAGCGUGCAGCACUCUCAC